GAAGCCUCUUUGUAAAGCAGCUAUGGCAGGAAGAGUCACCCUCAGAGCCGGCGAGAGAGAGAGGGGUCCAGCCCACACCCAAGGGAAGGAGAUUCCGCAAGGGCAUGGAUACCAGGAGGAGCUUAUAAUUUAGUAGACACAUAAGCCACAAACAGAAGCCAGCUCUGUGUCAGGCCCCAUGAGAAGUCCGCAGGUGCGAUCUUCAAUUUGGAGACUACAGGAAGGAUGGCUGGGGAGGCCUCAGGAAACUUACAGUCACAGCGGAAGGCAAAGAGGAAGCAGGCAGCGGCUUCGUGGCAGGAGCAGGAGGAAGGCGGUGGGGAGGUGCUACAUACUUUUAAACAACUGGAUCUUGUGAGAACUCACUAUCACGAGAACAGCAAGGGGGAAUUCUGCGCCCUGAUCCAGUCACCUCCCACCAGGCUCCUCCUCCAACAGUGGGGAUUACAAUUCGACAUGAGAUUUGAGUGGGGACACAGAUCCAAACCAUAUCAGUGUCAUUAAAAAAAUAGUUGCCCUGCUAACUUUUUUAAUCCCCUGUAACUCUAAAUAAAAUAAUGAUGUGAACAUAACACAUUUAGAGUCCCUGGUUCAUUUCCUGGCUGUAUUAGUCUGUUUUCACACUGGUAUAAAGAUACUACCUGAGACUGGGUAAUUCAGGAAGGAAAGAAGUUUAAUUGAUUCACAGUUC
rnacentral:lncRNA from 1 species